GACGAACGCUGGCGGCGUGCUUAACACAUGCAAGUCGAACGCUGAAGCUCAGCUUUUGUUGGGUGGAUGAGUGGCGAACGGGUGAGUAACACGUGAGUAACCUGCCUCCUUCUUUGGGAUAACGCCCGGAAACGGGUGCUAAUACUGGAUAUUCACUGGUCUUCGCAUGGGGGUUGGUGGAAAGGGUUUUUCUGGUGGGGGAUGGGCUCGCGGCCUAUCAGCUUGUUGGUGGGGUGAUGGCCUACCAAGGCUUUGACGGGUAGCCGGCCUGAGAGGGUGACAUGACACAUUAGCUCUGAGAGACUGACCAGAAUCGUACUGGGAGAGGAAGUGAGGAAUAAUGCAAAAGGCGAGAAAGGCUGAUGCAGCAUCGACACGUGGGGGAUCAUGGCUAUCGGAUUGUGAGCCUAUUGCGCUCAGGGUCAAGCCGCAACAAUGGUUGUCGUGAGGGUAGUGUGUAGAGAAGCGCCGGCUAGCUACGUG
rnacentral:rRNA from 1 species